GAUGAACGCUGGCGGCGUGCCUAAUACAUGCAAGUCGAGCGAACAGACGAGGAGCUUGCUCCUCUGACGUUAGCGGCGGACGGGUGAGUAACACGUGGAUAACCUACCUAUAAGACUGGGAUAACUUCGGGAAACCGGAGCUAAUACCGGAUAAUAUAUUGAACCGCAUGGUUCAAUAGUGAAAGACGGUUUUGCUGUCACUUAUAGAUGGAUCCGCGCCGCAUUAGCUAGUUGGUAAGGUAACGGCUUACCAAGGCGACGAUGCGUAGCCGAACUGAGAGGGUGAUAGGCCACACUGGAACUGAGACACGGUCCAGACUCCUACGGGAGGCAGCAGUAGGGAAUCUUCCGCAAUGGGCGAAAGCCUGACGGAGCAACGCCGCGUGAGUGAUGAAGGUCUUCGGAUCGUAAAACUCUGUUAUUAGGGAAGAACAAAUGUGUAAGUAACUAUGCACGUCUUGACGGUACCUAAUCAGAAAGCCACGGCUAACUACGUG
rnacentral:rRNA from 1 species